GCGGGGGUGGCAGAGCUAGGUCAAAUCCCUAAAGGAGACUGGAUGCGCAGGACUCAAGAUCCCGUGCCUUAGGGCUACGUGGGUUCGAAUCCCUCCCCCCGCACCA
rnacentral:tRNA from 1 species